ensembl:lncRNA
AAAACACCUAGGCCAGCCCUCCGGCCUGACCCCUGGACACACCCCUCCUACCCUCACUCAAUAUAAGGAGCAAGCUCAGCACCACUGCCCCCACAACGUGCCAGAGAGCAAGGGGAACUGUGGUUUGCUCUGUUCUCCAUCUCCCUUGCUGUUACCCGGAAAUAAAACUGCAAGUAUUAGUCGCUCAGUCGUGUCAGACUCUUUGGGAUCCCACGGACUGUAGCCCACCAGGUUCCUCUGUCUGUGCAAUUCUCCAGGCAAGAACACUGGAGUGGGUUGCCAUUUCCUCCUCCAGGGGACCUUCCUGACCCAGGGAUUGAACCUGGGUAGAGGCCCCAAUAAAGCCCUGCCUGAAAAAAUAAAACGAACCCUGGAGAUCUCUUAAGAUCCACAUGGCACAGGGAAGGAGACUAGGGGUAGACAAACGCUCCUGUAUACCCAGGGGCAAUCAGGGAGAUUGAGUUAAGUCUACUCAGAACCGUGGGAAAGGGACAGAGUCUGGGGCUGGGGCCACAGCAGGACAGGUUGGGGCGGGGAACACCAGCCAGGGUCACCCCCCAACCUCGUCCACCUCAACCCCCCACUUCAAUUGCCCAGACCUAGGAGGGGAAGGGGGCGACAGAGGAUGAGACGGUUGGAUGGCAUCACCGACUCAAUGGACAUGAGUUUGAGCAAGUUCCGGGAGAUGGUGAUGGACAGGGAAGCCUGGCGUGCGGCAGUCCACAGGGCCGCAGAGAGUCGGACACGACUGAGCAACUGAACAGCAGCAAGCACCCUGCCUGUACAGGAAGACUGAGGUCUGGCUGUCCCUCUCAGGCCCUCGAGACCCCAGAGGAGGGGGCCUCUGCGGUGCCUGCUCAUUGAAUACUGCAUGUAAAGAACCGGGGGAGGCAAAUUUCAGGUGACUUUUAGCUCAGGUCAAAUAAGCAAAGGGAGCUCUUCUGGAAGAAAAAGAAGAAAAAGAGUUUUGCGCCUUAAGGGAUGAAGACGGUAUUGGUGGGACCUGAGGGAAGAGGGUCGUGAGUAGAGAAGGAGCAGAGACUCUAAGUGCUGGCCCCUGGCGGGUGGGAACCUGGAGCGUGUGCAAAGGCCCAAGGACUGUGCUGAUGGCUUGGCCCAGCCCUUCCGGGGGCCAGAACUGACUGCCUCAGAGCAGUGCCUGUCCUUGCCUGUACCUCCUCUGCCUGGGCCAGUGGUGAUGUAUAAGGAAAUGAUUGUUUCAUUAUCCACUUAGAAAGUUACAUACUGACGAUAUUGUUCAAGCUUU